rnacentral:siRNA from 1 species
CAUUGCUGGUCGUUGUAGUGCA